rnacentral:rRNA from 1 species
CGGGGUGUAAAGCUCUUUCGACGGGGAAGAUAAUGACGGUACCUGAAGAAGAAGCUGCGGCUAACUACGUGCCAGCAGCCGCGGUAAUACGUAGGCGGCAAGCGUUGUUCGGAAUUACUGGGCGUAAAGGGUGCGUAGGCGGUGUUCUAAGUCUGGUGUGAAAUCUCCCGGCUCAACUGGGAGGGUGCGCCGAAAACUGGAGGGCUUGAGUGUGGGAGAGGUAAGUGGAAUUCCUGGUGUAGCGGUGAAAUGCGUAGAUAUCAGGAGGAACACCUGUGGUGUAAACGGCUUACUGGACCAUUACUGACGCUGAGGCACGAAAGCGUGGGUAGCAAACAGGAUUAGAUACCCUGGUAGUCCACGCCCUAAACGAUGCAUACUUGGUGUGGGCGAUUCAUUUCUGUUCGUGCCGGAGCUAACGCGUUAAAUAUGCCGCCUGGGGAGUACAGUCGCAAGGCUGAAACUCAAAGGAAUUGACG